rnacentral:rRNA from 1 species
UACGUAGGGCGCAAGCGUUAUCCGGAAUUAUUGGGCGUAAAGAGCUCGUAGGCGGUUUGUCGCGUCUGCCGUGAAAGUCCGGGGCUCAACUCCGGAUCUGCGGUGGGUACGGGCAGACUAGAGUGAUGUAGGGGAGACUGGAAUUCCUGGUGUAGCGGUGAAAUGCGCAGAUAUCAGGAGGAACACCGAUGGCGAAGGCAGGUCUCUGGGCCGAUACUGACGCUGAGACGCGAAAGCGUGGGGAGCGAACAGG